rnacentral:rRNA from 1 species
CAGCAGCCGCGGGAAAACGAAGGGGGCUAGCGUCGUUCGGAUUUACUGGGCGUAAAGCGCACGUAGGCGGAUCGAUCAGUCAGGGGUGAAAUCCCAGAGCUCAACUCUGGAACUGCCUUCGAUACUGUCGAUCUGGAGUAUGGAAGAGGUGAGUGGAAUUCCGAGUGUAGAGGUGAAAUUCGUAGAUAUUCGGAGGAACACCAGUGGCGAAGGCGGCUCACUGGUCCAUUACUGACGCUGAGGUGCGAAAGCGUGGGGAGCAAACAGGAUUAGAUACCCCUGUAGUCCCUGUCUCUUAUAC